rnacentral:rRNA from 1 species
UACAGAGGUCCCAAGCGUUGUCCGGAUUUAUUGGGCGUAAAGAGCUCGUAGGCGGCUCGGUAAGUCGGGUGUGAAACCUCCAGGCUCAACCUGGAGACGCCACUCGAUACUGCUGUGGCUGGAGUCCGGUAGAGGAGCGUAGAAUUCCUGGUGUAGCGGUGAAAUGCGCAGAUAUCAGGAGGAAUACCAGCGGCGAAGGCGGCUCCUGGACCGACACUGACGCUGAGGCGCGAAAGCUAGGGGAGCAAACGGG